AUAUCAUGGUGUGGGCACUUCCUAAGCAAGUCAUUGAGACGCUCCCAUGCCUCAUGAAACAUUUCCCCAUCCCCUUGUGAAAAUUCUCUAAUUGAAGUUCUGAUAGC